rnacentral:rRNA from 1 species
AGAGUUUGAUCAUGGCUCAGGAUGAACGCCGGCGGCGUGCCUAACACAUGCAAGUCGAGCGUGAAGCUUGAAAACAAACCUUCGGGUGAGUUUUUAAGUGGAAAGCGGCGGACGGGUGAGUAACGCGUGGGCAACCUACCUCAUACUAAGGGAUAGCCACUGGAAACGGUGAUUAAUACCUUAUAAGACUACAAUAACACAUGUUAUAGUAGUAAAAGAUUUAUCGGUAUGAGAUGGGCCCGCGUCUGAUUAGCUAGUUGGUAAGGUAACGGCGUACCAAGGCUUCGAUCAGUAGCCGACCUGAGAGGGUAAUCGGCCACACUGGAACUGAGACACGGUCCAGACUCCUACGGGAGGCAGCAGUGGGGAAUAUUGCACAAUGGGCGGAAGCCUGAUGCAGCAACGCCGCGUGAGUGAUGAAGGCUUUCGAGUCGUAAAGCUCUGUCCUAAGGGAAGAAUUGAUGACG